rnacentral:rRNA from 1 species
UGGGGAAUUUUGCACAAUGGUGGAAACCCUGAUGCAGCGACGCCGCGUGAUUUAGAAGGCCUUCGGGUUGUAAAAAUCUUUUCUAUGGGAAGAAAAUGACAGUACCAUAGGAAUAAGGACCGGCUAAUUACGUGCCAGCAGCCGCGGUAAUACGUAAGGUCCGAGCGUUGUCCGGAAUCAUUGGGCGUAAAGGGUACGUAGGCGGGUAAGCAAGUUAGAAGUGAAAUCCUAUAGCUCAACUAUAGUAAGCUUUUAAAACUGCUCAUCUUGAGGUAUGGAAGGGAAAGUGGAAUUCCUAGUGUAGCGGUGAAAUGCGCAGAUAUUAGGAGGAAUACCGGUGGCGAAGGCGACUUUCUGGCCAUAACCUGACGCUGAGGUACGAAAGCGUGGGUAGCAAACAGG